AAAAAACGCCGGCGAUGGAGUGGGCGGAGCGGGCGAUUUGAACCGGAGGUGCCGCAGCCUACGCCGGAGUACCGACUCCUAGAGCCACACGGGCGGCUCGGGCGGUUGUCCGGUUCCCUGCGGGCGCCAGCCUUCCCCCCCGGGGCCGGGAGGUCCGAGCAGAAGCCUCGGGGCCGGAGGCGGCCCGCCAUGGGCCCGCGCCGCCGGAGCCGCAAGCCGGAGGUCCCGAGGAGGCGCAGCCCGAGCCCGACCCGCAGCCCCCGCCGGCGGAGCGUCUCCUUAGGCGCGGCCUCGCAGCACAGACGGCGGCGGCACGCGUGGCUGAAGGAGAUGCGCAAGCUACAGAAGAGCACGGACCUGCUGCUGAGGAAGCUGCCGUUCGCCCGCGUGGUGAGCUCAGGGCGCCCCGGCCCGGCGUGGCCCCUGUCCCUCACCUUCUCCCCCUGCGGGGGCCCUUGGUCUGGACCCACACCACCUUCGCUUCUCCACAGCUCCCCCACACCUUUGAAGCUGUCUUACUCUUUGUAACAGUUGUGUGUAUGGGCACUGUGAGAGCUCGGGUCCACGCCUGUGUGUUAGGGUGGAGUCAGGGUUCCAUCUCCUGGGGCAGGUCUCGCUUCUUUGUGUUGGGAACCUCGGGUCUUAGCGUCUGAAACUGUCUUUGAGUAUGGAAAACGGAGCGCUGUCACCCAUCCCUCGUGCUUUGGUCCCUUUUGCUGCCCUGGGGGAGUGCAGCAGGCCGACUCCUGUGCCCCAGAGGCAGCCCUGCUCCGCCCCAGGCACGUCCUGAGGUUGAGGGCCAGGAAGGACCAGUGGAUUCCCUGGAGACUCUUGGAGAGAGCCCAGCUCUCCGAGCCUCUCGUCUGUUACUGCCUACUCCCCCAUCCCCACUCCUCCACAGGCCAGAGAAAUCAGCACCAGAUUCACUCGGGGUGUGGACUUCAGCUGGCAAGCCCAGGCCCUGUUGGCCCUCCAGGAGGAUGUGCAGCUGGCCAGGAGGAUCCGAGGCAUCCAGGAGGGGCUUGGCUGAGCACCGGGCCGGAGUCUCCGCCAGCCUUCCUGUGCCCGGGCGCGGCACCCCGCUCUCAGCGCCGGGAGGGCUGUCCUUGGAGGAGCUGCCUUCUCUGUGCCCAGCCCCUUGUCAUCUCAGCGUUCCUGGUGCUCACGAGACUGCCUGGGGGUGUGUGGGUCACACCUUCCCGUGCAGCGUUGAAUAAAGAUACUUUGCUACCACGUGACGAGCCAACGGCCACACCUGUAGCAGCGCUAAGCCUCUCCGUUUCACAAGGACCCGUGGCUUCGUUUUGAUGAAGAGAGAUUUUUUUGCUUCUGAAAAUGCCUUGUUAGGAAAAGCGAUUCCUGCGUGUCAGGGAUGAUGGCUGGGACGGCUUUGGUGCCCAUGCGUAGUAGACCCGGGCAUAUCGGAGGGCCGCCUGGGCCGUGCUGUUGCAGAGCUGGGGUCCGGCUGGGGUCGGUUCUUUCCAGGAGAGGGUGGCCUGGCUGGCUGUGUAGUGGGCAUCGGCACGGCUCCCGGCGCCUGGACGUCGUGUCGGCAGAGGUUCCAGGGCCUUCAGCUCGUGACCCGCACAUCCGACCGAUGAAGCUCCUGAAGACCUCAGCUGCGCACGGGCAGGAGGGGAUCCUGGCUCGUUCCUGUGCCGUGCGUUUUUCACCCCGUGUGUGUUUAAUCCGCUGCUGAGAACGUGAGAGGAAGCCCGAGAAGCGCCUGAAUCAGCUGCGUGGGAAAGCCCAGCCUUCCCGGCCCGCAAGCCUGCGCCCCUCAGACGGGGCUGAACAUUGGUGUUCUGGUUCCUUCCAGUCCUUCCCAUCAAAAUCGCUCGGAAGUUCUGACUUCCAGGAUUCAGCAUUUUCUUAUUAUUUGUAAACCACAGAAGUUGAAUCUUAUCAAUCCAUGAUUUUAAAGUGCUUUUCCAGUGUUUUUAUGGGUGUUUUUUAAGCUUACAGCUUCUUUGCAGAGAGAUAAUAAAAAUAAUUCUGUAAUGAAAAA